rnacentral:rRNA from 1 species
GUUUUAUAAAAAUUAUGUAUAAAAUUAGGCCUGCACACUGUGUAAAAUGAAGAGCCGCGGUAUAUUGACUGUGCAAACAGGUAGCAUAAUCAUUAGUCUCUUAAUUGGGGGAUGGAAUGAAAGGUUUCACGAAAAAUCGUUAUUUUCUUAAUAUUAAUAAUAGAAAUUUAUUUUUUAGUUAAAAAGCUAAAAUGAAAAGUAAAGGGACGAGAAGACCCUAUAGAUUUUUAUAUAAUUUAAAUUAAAUGAAUAAAAUAAGAAAACCUUUAUUAGUAUAAAUUAUAUUUAGUUGGGGUGACGUGAAGAAUAAUAAAACUCUUUAUUGCAAAAAUAACAAAGAUAAAUGGAGUAUUGAUCCAGUAAAAUUAUUGAUUAGAAGAAUAAAAUCCACCUUAGGGAUAACAGCGUAAUUAUUUUCUGGAGUACAAAUUUACAAAAUAGAUUGCGAC